UACGAACCGUACAAACGUUAUUCGGAAUCACUGGGCUUAAAGGGUGCGUAGGCGGCCAUGUAAGUGAGGUGUGAAAUCCCCUCGGCUCAACCGAGGAACUGCGCUUCAUACUGCAUGGCUUGAGGGAGACAGGGGUAAGCGGAACUGAUGGUGGAGCGGUGAAAUGCGUUGAUAUCAUCAGGAACACCGGUGGCGAAAGCGGCUUACUGGGUCUCUUCUGACGCUGAGGAACGAAAGCUAGGGUAGCGAACGGG
rnacentral:rRNA from 1 species